CAUACUUGCACGGGGUGCUUUUACCAUUACGGUUAAAGGCUGAGAUAAUACCCGAGAAACCUGAUACGGAUAAUACCGGCGUAGGGAUGCAUGGGUUCAGCAUG
rnacentral:ncRNA from 1 species